rnacentral:rRNA from 1 species
GACGUAGGCGGUUCGCUGCCCGCGACGUUGUGAGAAGUCCACUGAACCUUAUCAUUUAGAGGAAGGAGAAGUCGUAACAAGGUUUCCGUAGGUGAACCUGCGGAAGGAUCAUUG